rnacentral:rRNA from 1 species
UAGGGAAUCUUCCACAAUGGACGCAAGUCUGAUGGAGCAACGCCGCGUGAGUGAAGAAGGUUUUCGGAUCGUAAAGCUCUGUUGUUGGUGAAGAAGGAUAGAGGUAGUAACUGGCCUUUAUUUGACGGUAAUCAACCAGAAAGUCACGGCUAACUACGUGCCAGCAGCCGCGGUAAUACGUAGGUGGCAAGCGUUGUCCGGAUUUAUUGGGCGUAAAGCGGGCGCAGGCGGAAGAAUAAGUCUGAUGUGAAAGCCCUCGGCUUAACCGAGGAACUGCAUCGGAAACUGUUUUUCUUGAGUGCAGAAGAGGAGAGUGGAAUUCCAUGUGUAGCGGUGGAAUGCGUAGAUAUAUGGAAGAACACCAGUGGCGAAGGCGACUCUCUGGUCUGCAACUGACGCUGAGGCUCGAAAGCAUGGGUAGCGAACAGG